AUACGUAGGUGGCAAGCGUUGUCCGGAUUUAUUGGGUUUAAAGGGUGCGUAGGUCGGCCCUGUAAGUCAGUGGUGAAAUAUCGCAGCUCAACUGUGAGGGUGCCAUUGAUACUGCAGGGCUUGAGUGGAGUCGGGGUGGCCGGAAUUUACGGUGUAGCGGUGAAAUGCAUAGAUACCGUAAAGAACACCGAUAGCGAAGGCAGGCCACUGGGCUCCAACUGACGCUGAGGCACGAAAGCGUGGGGAUC
rnacentral:rRNA from 1 species